rnacentral:rRNA from 1 species
AUUGAACGCUGGCGGCAGGCCUAACACAUGCAAGUCGAACGAGUGGCGGACGGGUGAGUAAUGUCUGGGAAACUGCCUGAUGGAGGGGGAUAACUACUGGAAACGGUAGCUAAUACCGCAUACCAUCAGAUGUGCCCAGAUGGGAUUAGCUAGUUGGUGGGGUAACGGCUCACCAAGGCGACGAUCCCGAGCUGGUCUGAGAGGAUGACCAGCCGAACUGGAACUGAGACCCGGUCCAGACUCCUAGGGGAGUCAGCAGUGGGGACUAUUUCACAAUGGUCGCAAGCCUGAUGCGGCCAUGCCGCGUGUAUGAAGAUGGCCUUCGGGUUGUAAAGUACUUUCUGCGGUGAGGCGUUACCCGCAGAAGAAGCACCGACUAACUCCGUGCCAGCAGCCGCGGUAAUAC